AGCAGCCGCGGUAAUUCCAGCUCCAAUAGCGUAUAUUAAAGUUGUUGCAGUUAAAAAGCUCGUAGUUGAAUUUCGGGGUCAGUAGGUCGGUCGUGCCACUGGUAUGAACUGGUUUUACUGAUUCCUCCCUCUUGAAGAACUGUAAUGCCAUUAAUUUGGUGUUGCAGGGAAUCAGGACUGUUACUUUGAAAAAUUAGAGUGUUUAAAGCAGGCUUUAGCUUGAAUACAUUAGCAUGGAAUAAUGAAAUAGGACGUUUGAUCCUAUUUUGUUGGUUUCUAGGAUUGACGUAAUGAUUAAUAGGGAUAGUUGGGGGCAUUAGUAUUCAAUUGUCAGAGGUGAAAUUCUUGGAUUUAUUGAAGACUAACUACUGCGAAAGCAUUUGCCAAGGAUGUUUUCAUUAAUCAAGAACGAAAGUUAGGGGAUCGAAGACGAUCAGAUACCGUCGUAGUCUUAACCAUAAACUAUGCCGACUAGGGAUCGGAUGAUGUUAAUUUUUAAUGUA
rnacentral:rRNA from 1 species